GCCGUGGCAGGAUGGAGAGAACUGAAGGCACGUAAACGUUAAGGAUUACAGGAUGAGAUGAGAACAAUUGACUACAAACAGCAACGAAGUAAGAAAAACGAGCAUGAACAACACCAGUACUGAUAACAACAGACUGUGCAACACAGGCGAGCGAUUCACGGUGCUCAUCCGACCCCACACUAAGCAAAACUCCGGAAGAACUCCCUCUCCUUCCGUGCCCGCAGCGCAUGGCUGGAGCGGGAUCGAAUAUCCCCAGGCAGCUGGCUGUGCUCCUCCUGCCUCCUGGAGAAGUUAACCUCGCCUUGGUCGGAACAAGGAUGUACAGAUACACUGUCCCGCGAAAUGAAAGAGCUUUAAACUCAUAACACUGACACAGUAUGCACAGGCGUUUUUCCUUAAAAAAAUCCCGGAAGAACAGGAGAGGACAGUACUCCUGCGAAAACCCGCCAGAGAUGCAAAACUCGGCUCUAGCAUGUGUUUCAUAGCGGUACCCGGGGAGUCCCGGUACCAGCCCCACGCCUUGAACAUCCUCUUCCUGACAGUGCCGAAAUGGCUUGGGUCUGUAUGUCCUGAACUUACCAGCCGGGAGAGCCAGCAACUGGGAAGCAUGUUAAAGCAAGAAAAAGAAAAAUUGUAUAUAGCUUCUUGUGGUGCUGGGGAGGCUGAGACCUGAUGCAGUACUGGCUCUGGGGGAGAAUGGUCAGACUGGUACCAGUGGUCCAUCAGCUGCAGUGAAGCACCUGGAGCCAUCUCCUCUGGCUUCUGGCACGCUGAUAAACCACUGGCCACAGGUGUUUCCAUCCUACAUAAAGACUGAAAGACAUGCAGUUGUGGCUGCAAUCAAAAUACUUAUCUAGUGAAAGUGAUAAGGUAUUCUGGAUAAGCUUGAAUGUCAUUAAAAAUUAUGAACAUGGA